GACGAACGCUGGCGGCGUGCCUAAUACAUGCAAGUCGAACGCACAGUUUAUACCGUAGCUUGCUACACCAUAAACUGUGAGUUGCGAACGGGUGAGUAACGCGUAGGUAACCUGCCUGGUAGCGGGGGAUAACUAUUGGAAACGAUAGCUAAUACCGCAUAAUAUUAAUUAUUGCAUGAUAAUUGAUUGAAAGAUGCAAUUGCAUCACUACCAGAUGGACCUGCGUUGUAUUAGCUAGUAGGUGAGGUAACGGCUCACCUAGGCGACGAUACAUAGCCGACCUGAGAGGGUGAUCGGCCACACUGGGACUGAGACACGGCCCAGACUCCUACGGGAGGCAGCAGUAGGGAAUCUUCGGCAAUGGACGAAAGUCUGACCGAGCAACGCCGCGUGAGUGAAGAAGGUUCUCGGAUCGUAAAGCUCUGUUGUAAGAGAAGAACGGGUGUGAGAGUGGAAAGUUCACACUGUGACGGUAUCUUACCAGAAAGAGACGGCUAACUACGUG
rnacentral:rRNA from 1 species